rnacentral:rRNA from 1 species
AUUGAACGCUGGCGGCAUGCCUUACACAUGCAAGUCGAACGGCAGCAUGAUCUAGCUUGCUAGAUUGAUGGCGAGUGGCGAACGGGUGAGUAAUACAUCGGAACGUGCCCUGUAGUGGGGGAUAACUAGUCGAAAGAUUAGCUAAUACCGCAUACGACCUGAGGGUGAAAGUGGGGGACCGCAAGGCCUCAUGCUAUAGGAGCGGCCGAUGUCUGAUUAGCUAGCUGGUGAGGUAAAGGCUCACCAAGGCGACGAUCAGUAGCUGGUCUGAGAGGACGAUCAGCCACACUGGGACUGAGACACGGCCCAGACUCCUACGGGAGGCAGCAGUGGGGAAUUUUGGACAAUGGGCGAAAGCCUGAUCCAGCAAUGCCGCGUGUGUGAAGAAGGCCUUCGGGUUUUAAAGCACUUUUGUCCGGAAAGAAAUGGCUCUGGUUAAUACCUGGGGUCGAUGACGGUACCGGAAGAAUAAGGACCGGCUAACUACGUG